rnacentral:rRNA from 1 species
GACGUAGGGCGCGAGCGUUGUCCGGAUUUAUUGGGCGUAAAGAGCUCGUAGGCGGCUUGUUGCGUCGGCUGUGAAAUCCCGUGGCUUAACUGCGGGCUUGCAGCUGAUACGGGCGGGCUGGAGUUCGGUAGGGGAGACUGGAAUUCCUGGUGUAGCGGUGAAAUGCGCAGAUAUCAGGAGGAACACCGAUGGCGAAGGCAGCUCGCUGGGACGGUACUGACGCUGAGGCGCGAAAGCGUGGGGAGCAAACAGG